GAUGAAGAACGUAGUGAAAUGCGAUAAGUAAUGUGAAUUGCAGAAUUCAGUGAAUCAUCGAAUCUUUGAACGCACCUUGCGCUCCUUGGUAUUCCGAGGAGCAUGCCUGUUUGAGUGUCAUUAAUAUAUCAACCUUCUCUUUUUUGAGUUGUUUGGAUGUGGGGGUUUGCUGGCCUCUUAAAUGUUUCAGCUCCCCUGAAAUGCAUUAGCAGAACAACCUGUUCAUUGGCGUGAUAAUUAUCUAUGCUAUUGAAUGUGAGGGCAGUUCAGCUUUCUAACCGUCCUUGGACAAUUCAUCAUUAAUGUGACCUCAAAUCAGGUAGGACUACCCGCUGAACUUAAGCAUAUCAAUAAGCGGAGGA
rnacentral:misc_RNA from 1 species